rnacentral:rRNA from 1 species
CUACGGGUCGCUGCAGUGAGGAAUAUUGCACAAUGGGGGGAACCCUGAUGCAGCAACGCCGCGUGGAGGAUGACGCAUUUCGGUGUGUAAACUCCUUUUAUAUGCCAAGAAAAUGACGGUAGCAUAUGAAUAAGCACCGGCUAACUCCGUGCCAGCAGCCGCGGUAAUACGGAGGGUGCAAGCGUUACUCGGAAUCACUGGGCGUAAAGGACGCGUAGGCGGGUUGGAAAGUCAGGUGUGAAAUCCUACAGCUUAACUGUAGAACCGCACUUGAAACUUCUAAUCUAGAGUAUGGGAGGGGGAGAUGGAAUUAGUGGUGUAGGGGUAAAAUCCGUAGAUAUCACUAGGAAUACCUAAAGCGAAGGCGAUCUCCUGGAACAUUACUGACGCUAAGGCGUGAAAGCGUGGGGAGCAAACAGGAUUAGAUACCCUCGUAGUC